AAUGGUACAAGGCUUCUCUGGGUCUUGUCAUUGAAAUAAGUACAAUUUAAUUCCUUUGACGAGGCACAAUCGGAGGGCAAGUUUGGUGCCAGUAGCCGAGGUAGGUUCAGCUUCAA
rnacentral:ncRNA from 1 species